rnacentral:lncRNA from 1 species
AUACAAAGGGUAAUUGCGAGGUAGUGAUUUCGCCAAUAAGGCUCUUUUUUAAAAUAGGAAUUUUCAUUUUUGUAAAAAAAACUAACUAAUCCCUGCAAAAAUCUCAUAAGAUAUGCCCCCGCAUGCACGCACACAAAAUGGAAUCGGGAGAAGCGUGUGACAAUGUCACUGAUUCCUCUGCUUUAUAUCUCUACCUUCUUUUAAUCUUUUGGGUGCAUGCUAUAGCUUUUGCAAUCUUGAUGAUGAAUUGAUUGGUAACAUCAUGGGUGGAAGAAAGAGCAAGAAAAGAACUUGAUCCUUUCCUUAUCUUUCCUGCCAUUGCCUUGCUAAGGCAAGGUUCCAAGCUCUGAAGCUUCCUUCCCUCCUUUUGUCAGACUUUUGAAUGGCCCAUUUUUUUUUAAUUUUUUGUUGCUGUUCAGUAAUUCUUGGCGCAUCACCGACAACCACUGUAACCAGCAUUCACAUAAUCACAUUCAUUCAUGUGGAAUAAGAUUGAUGUACAGGUUGAGAAAAAGGAGAAGAGUGAAGUCAGGGCUUCCCGGACCGGAUCUAUGACACGAACCACGCUACUUUCAUUGGCAUUACAACACACCUUGCAAUGGUUCUGUGGUUUUGGUUUUAGUUUAAAAAACUGAAUUUUAAACUUUUGAUAAAUUUGUGUUUAGUUUUAUUUGGUUUUCAUCGGUCUAUUGAUGGGUUUGCAAAAAAUAUAGAUAUGACGAAGAGAAAACAAAAGGCUAAAAACACGUUUUUACAGACGAAAAAUAAUUUAUAGGUAGUACUUUUAUAUACGUGUCUAUAGUAACUUAAAAGUAAAAGUUAUAAAAAAAAUCAUGGUAAAAAAAUCAUAAAAUCAAGUCAACAUUAAGUUUUGUAACUGUGAAAUGAUGUAAUGCGAAAUGAUGUGAGCCAAAGAGAAAAGUGUCAAGUUUGAGGUGAGCCAAAGAGAAGAGUGUCAAGUUUUGACGCCCAAAUUUUAAGUUUUAUAUGUGUAAAUUAUAAGCUUUCUUACUAAGAAAUUUUGGGUUAUCAACGGAUUGUAUUUUUUUUUGAGGCAAGUUAUCACCGGAUUGUUUAGAGACGAGAAAUAAGCAACCAAACGCAUGCUAAUUGUCUCAGCAAGCUCAAAAGCUAAUCGUCUCGAAGCACUGGUCGGGUCACUUCCCCUUCCAUCUUCUGGACAAUGUAGCAGUACUUAUAUCAAUCGAUCAUAUUUUGGGUUUUUUAACCAUCAGAUUAGGAAAAUUCCUUCCCUAACUGUAUGCUAUUUCUCGAUUACCAUUUGUCAUCACUAGAUAACAGUACAGCGUAAUCCUAUUCGUAUCUGCAAUUCUGCAUCGCUUACUUACACUACAGAAUCAUGAGGCCGAGGCCGAUGGUAUCAAACAAUUCAACAAGGUAAGAUAACCAGAUACUACUAUUUAAUCAGAAUAUGCAGGAUUUUAAAACUUCACUCGGAUUUUUUUUACAAAAGAAAAACAUGCAGAAAGGAGAAGCAAAUGAGCGAACUGAACGCAUAAGUUCAAAUCCCACUUAUUCAUAACCCAAACUGCUGUGCCACAGCAACUGUUUCAUAAAACCAACACAUCAUAGGGACUCGAUGGUACGGUGAGGCAGACACAAGUAGACAUCAGCACCACUAAUACUUGACGAACAGAGGCACGGGACGACCAGGAACACCAGCAGCUUCACCAAGCUGGCAGAUUACUGACCACCACGGAGACGGAGCACCAGGUGAAGGGUAGACUCCUUCUGGAUGUUGUAGUCGGCGAGGGUACGGCCAUCCUCCAGCUGCUUGCCGGCGAAGAUCAGACGCUGCUGGUCUGGGGGGAUCCCCUCCUUGUCCUGGAUCUUGGCCUUCACAUUAUCAAUGGUGUCCGAGCUCUCAACUUCCAAAGUGAUGGUCUUCCCAGUCAAUGUCUUCACAAAGAUCUGCAUACCACCACGGAGACGAAGCACCAGGUGGAGGGUAGACUCCUUCUGGAUGUUAUAGUCAGCAAGGGUCCUGCCAUCCUCGAGCUGCUUGCCAGCAAAGAUGAGACGCUGCUGGUCCGGGGGGAUGCCUUCCUUGUCCUGGAUCUUGGCCUUCACAUUGUCGAUGGUAUCUGAGCUCUCAACCUCCAGAGUGAUCGUCUUGCCUGUGAGGGUCUUGACAAAGAUCUGCAUACCACCACGGAGACGGAGCACCAGGUGGAGGGUGGACUCCUUCUGGAUGUUAUAGUCAGCAAGGGUCCUGCCAUCCUCGAGCUGCUUGCCAGCAAAGAUGAGACGCUGCUGGUCCGGGGGGAUGCCUUCCUUGUCCUGGAUCUUGGCCUUGACAUUGUCGAUAGUGUCAGAAGACUCCACCUCAAGGGUGAUAGUCUUGCCGGUCAGAGUCUUGACGAAGAUCUGCAUGCCUCCCCUGAGACGGAGGACAAGGUGGAGGGUCGAUUCCUUCUGGAUGUUGUAGUCAGCAAGGGUCCUGCCAUCCUCAAGCUGCUUGCCAGCAAAGAUAAGACGCUGCUGGUCCGGAGGGAUGCCCUCCUUGUCCUGGAUCUUAGCCUUGACGUUGUCAAUGGUGUCAGAAGAUUCCACCUCGAGGGUGAUGGUCUUGCCCGUCAGAGUCUUGACGAAGAUCUGCAUGCCACCACGGAGGCGGAGAACAAGGUGAAGGGUCGACUCCUUCUGGAUGUUGUAGUCAGCCAGGGUCCUGCCAUCCUCCAGCUGCUUGCCAGCGAAGAUGAGACGCUGCUGAUCCGGGGGG